UCCUAGAAAUUCCGGUGUCUCACCGAAAAUG
rnacentral:piRNA from 1 species